GACGAACCUGACGAACGUUAUUCGGAAUCACUGGGCUUAAAGGGUGCGUAGGCUGUGCAGAAAGUUGGGUGUGAAAAUCCCUCGGCUUAACCGAGGAACUGCGCCCAAAACUACUGUGCUUGAGUGAGAUAGAGGUGAGCGGAACUUAGGGUGGAGCGGUGGAAAUGCGUUGAUAUCCUAAGGAACACCGGUGGCGAAAGCGGCUCACUGGGUCUCGAACUGACGCUGAUGCACGAAAGCUAGGGUAGCGAACGGG
rnacentral:rRNA from 1 species